UCAUUCUGCCACUGCAGGCUGAGCCACCAGGGGAGCAGCAGCCUGGCAGCACAGGAACAACACGGGCAUUCAAGGGGAUGGGAAAGUGGGUAAAAUUGUAACCGGCAAAAGACAUUUUUUCCACACUAACACGGAACUGAAUUCAGGAGCUUGAGGUAAGAGGAUGCCACUAAGGCCAAGAAUUCAGUCUUUUGUUUUUUCUCUCUAGAAGAACAGGAGGUGUGAUCAGUGGGAACGAGUGACUGAGAGCCCUGAGAGCCCUUGGUUACUGGGAGGCUGUUCAGAACUGGCCUGUGGACAACCUGGAUCCCUGCUGACUCAGAGAGCCACCACCACUGACCGUGGGAAGGCCAGCUCUGGUUCUGCUGGAAACAUCAGAAAAUACUGGUGGCUUCACACUGUGGUUUGUUUUUUAUUUAGUGGAUGGGAAUUUCCAUUUAAAAAUGCUCUGCAACGUUACAAUCUGGAUACAGGAACAGUGAGCCAACAUGGCUCUUUGCAAUACAGCAAUAAACCCUCAAGGACUCUGUGUCCUAUUGUUGCAGUUUUAUGGGCCCUGCCUCUUUUUCUAUAAAUUUGAAGCUGUCGGUCACCAGAUCCUUCUAGAAAACUCCUCACCCGCUUUCCCCAAGAACUCCAGAAUAACCUGCAAUGCUCUGAAACAUCUCAGGAUUUCUUUUGGGACCAAGUCUGGACAGGAGGAUCUUUCAAAGCUCGGCCCUUUCCCUUUCCCCCGAUGCUGAAGAGCUGCCUCCGUGUCACCGAUGCCAGAGCUUCCUCACUGCCAUCCAGCCCACCCAGAGACACCCACCCAGGCUGUUUGGAGCUGUGGCCCCGGGUGAGCUGUUCAUUCCCUGGCAGCCAGGACUCGGUGAGAUGGGACUCUACACUGCCUGUCAGGGGUUGCACUGGUGUGUGUUGUGCAUGCAAGACUUCGGAGCUCUUGCUCUGCUGGGGCCACCAGCCUGGAAUGUGCUUCCUCCUGAAGGGUGUCCUAGUGACAGUCUAAAGGAACUUUGUCAUUUUGGCUCGACUCUGUGUUCCAGUUACCUGGGGGGUUGUGCUGGUGGCUGAGAAGUUCUGCCCAAGCCAGUGCCUUUCCCUGCACUGGGCAGAGGGUGCUGGUGGAGGGGCAGAGAUUCCUCCCAAGUGGGAGGAAUUAGAGUCAUGCAAAUGGCAGACAGAUGCUGAAUUCCUCCAUGCUGGGAUUCCUCAGGAGAAGAGAGUGCCGUGCUGUAGGCACAGGGACAAGGUGUGAGUAGGAAGCGUGUAGGGAAUGGGGGAGCCUCUCCCACCAAGAAUAUGUGCUUUGUACCCUCCACUUCUCUGCUUUUCAGCCAGCCAGCAAAAUUAAAAACAUGUGAGGGGUGGAGCAGGAGGGCAGGGAUUUAUGGGUUGGUUUAUAGGAGAUGAUAUAAAACACUUUUAUGUCAA